UCUCUCUCUCUCUCUCUCCAAAAGCAAACUAAAAUACCGCAGAAAUCAGAGUAUAUUGCAGCGCUUGGCAAUAGCAUCUUCUGUAAGAAAGAUCGCGAAUAAAUUACUCCGCAAUUCUCAUCUGCAAAAGGUUAAGAAUUGUGCACACAAUUGGAGGGGAUUAUUAUUCCUCAGGCUAAAGAAUCCGAUCAUCCUCGAAUGACGUAAUUUUAUCCACGACUUGCACAGAAAGCUCGAAUUCUAAUGAGGUCUGGCGACCCAGACGCAGAAUUUAAUCCCGACACAUUGCAGGUCAUAAACAUCACACCCAUCACCAC
rnacentral:lncRNA from 1 species